UACGAAGGGUGCAAGCGUUACUCGGAAUUACUGGGCGUAAAGCGUGCGUAGGUGGUUUGUUAAGUCUGUUGUGAAAGCCCCGGGCUCAACCUGGGAAUGGCAAUGGAUACUGGCAAGCUAGAGUGCGGUAGAGGGUAGUGGAAUUCCCGGUGUAGCGGUGGAAUGCGUAGAGAUCGGGAAGAACAUCAGUGGCGAAGGCGGUCUGCUGGGCCGUUGCUGACGCUGAGGCGCGACAGCGUGGGGAGCAAACAGG
rnacentral:rRNA from 1 species